UACGUAGGUGACAAGCGUUGUCCGGAUUUACUGGGCGUAAAGCGUGCGCAGGCGGUGAUGUAAGACAGAUGUGAAAUCUCCGGGCUUAACCCGGAAACUGCCGUUGAUACUAUAUAUCUUGAAUGCUGUGGAGGUAAGCAGAAUAUGUCAUGUAGCGGUGAAAUGCUUAGAUAUGACAUAGAAUACCUAUUGCGAAGGCAGCUUACUACGCAGAUAUUGACGCUCAUGCACGAAAGCGUGGGGAGCAAACAGG
rnacentral:rRNA from 1 species